GUAUGGGGGUCGGCUCCCUGGUGCACAUGUAUGAGAGGGCGAGCCAUGUGUGAGGACGGCUCGUUGGGGUUUCAGGUGGUGCCACUGACUAAUUUCCACGUGAUGUGAUUAUAUGAAUGUGAUACUAAUUAUGGUUGCUGUUGUAUUGUCAUUUGUGUGACACUGCAUGAUCAUAAAUUUAAUCGAUAAACAAAUAAAAAUAUUUUAGCAUCUGUAUGAUUGUGUGGGGUGAGAGGGUUAUCGAACCCUACUCAUUGAGUUUGGCGCUCACCCCUGCCUACCUUUUUUUUUUUCAGGUAAUAGAAGAAAGAAAAAUGUUAUGGAGUUGAGACAUAAGUAUAGAAGAUUGUAAACGAUAAAUAAAUGAUGAUGUAAAUGUACAGGUAGAGUUCCGCAAUUAUAUUCUAGUGGGUUGUAGAUGAACUGUACUAGUGAUAUAUAAUUGAAAUAAAUUAUUGAGCCUGUAUCCACAAUUAUGAAUAGUAAAUGAGAUUUGCAUAAUAUAGGCUUACUACGGGGGGGCCUUAAGCCCACCCAGGUCCUAGUGCCGGUCCGAUCCAUGGAAAUGGGUCGUGACAAUAAAUAAAUAAAAAUUUAGGCCCUUUUAUUUUUCCAAAUAUGAAAAUAUUUUGCAAAUUUAUUAUUAAAAAAAGUUGAAGGAGUGUAUGACAAGAAUUCUUGGAAUCCUUAAGGAUAAAUACAUAUUAUUAAUAGCAUUCACUAGCAAUUAUCAUAGUUUAUAAUUUUUAUGUGUGCUUUUAUAUUUAAUAAGAGAAUUUUCAAAAUCUGCUAAUAAUUUUUAAUAAUUUUAUUAUGUUGUAAAUUAUUUUUUUUAACUAAGCAAUAUAACAACAAACAAUAGAAGAUGAGC
rnacentral:lncRNA from 1 species